UACGUAGGGAGCAAGCGUUGUCCGGAAUCAUUGGGCGUAAAGCGCGCGUAGGUGGCCUCAUAAGUCCGCUGUGAAAUUCAAAGGCUCAACCUUUGAAAGCCGGUGGAUACUGUGAGGCUAGAGUACGGAAGAGGCGAGUGGAAUUCCUGGUGUAGCGGUGGAAUGCGCAGAUAUCAGGAGGAACACCAAUAGCGAAGGCAGCUCGCUGGGACGUUACUGACACUGAGACGCGAAAGCGUGGGGAGCGAACAGG
rnacentral:rRNA from 1 species